rfam:Candidatus Harrisonbacteria bacterium RIFCSPLOWO2_01_FTLL_44_18 rifcsplowo2_01_scaffold_1592, whole genome shotgun sequence.
CGAUUUCCGUAUAAGGGCAUAUGGUGGAUGCCUUGGCAUCAAGUGGCGAUGAAGGACGUGGCGUAGCUGCGAUAAGCCUCGGGGAGGUGCCUAGCAACCUUUGAUCCGGGGAUUUCCGAAUGGGGAAACCCUCUGUGAUAAACUCACAGAACCGUGGCUCACUAUUGUUUAUCACUCAUACGAAAAUACGAAAACCUACGAAUUUACGAAAAACCAAAUUUCGUACAUUUGUAACAUUUCGUACUUUCGUAAGGGAGUGGCGAGCAGUGGCGAGUCACGGAGUAUACCCGCUGAAGUGAAACAUCUCAGUAAGCGGAGGAAAAUAAAAAAAUGUAGAAGCUGAUUAACGCGGAUUUUAAACUGUAGAGGCGGAUUCACGCGGAUUUAAUUCCGCGCCGUUCCGCUUCUAUAAUUAAUUGAAUCUGCGCAUAUCUGCUUCUAUGCAUUCCCUGAGUAGCGGCGAGCGAAACGGGAACAGCCCAAACCUUGUCAGUGUUUCGCACUGACCGCAGAAAAACGUGGAAAGAACGCAGAAUAACGCAGAAGAACCAAAAAUUCUGCGUGUGUCUGCGUAAAGUCUGCGUAAGUCCGCGGCCAACGCGGAGCGUUGGCAGGGGGUAGUAAGAUUAACAUGCUGUUAGCAAUAAUAAGGGAAAGUUAUCAAUCGAUUUAUUAGCAGAAUCCAUUGGAAAGUGGAGCCAAAGAGAGUGAUAGCCUCGUAUGCGAAAACAAAUCGACUUUCUAUUGUUAGUCUUGAGUACCUCGAGGCAAAAAAACUUUGAGGGAAUCUUCCGGUACUAUCCGGAAAGGCUAAAUACACUUGAUGACCGAUAGUGAACUAGUACCGCGAGGGAAAGGUGAAAAGUACCCCGGAAGGGGGAUGAAAUAGAACCUGAAACCAUAUGCUUACAAGGACGCGAAGCUUGUGCUUUGCACAAGGAAAUUCCAAACUCCAAAUUCUAAAUUCCAAACAAUAUUCAAGCUCUAAUUUCAAAAUUCCAAACGGAUUUCCCGUUUUGAAUUUGUUAUUUUGGUCAUUGUGAUUUGUUUGUGAUUUGGCGCUUGUGAUUUGUGAUUUUCUCGCGCAGAGCGCGAGUGACGCGGUGCCUAUUGAAGAAUGAGCCAACGAGUUAUUUUGCAUUGCGCGUCUAAGUCCCAUUAAACGGGAUGCAGGCACAGGGAAACCGAGUUUUAAUAGAGCGCAUCGUUCGCUCCUCACUGCGUUCGUCGCUCACUUUACCAAUUACGAAUACUGACACGAAUUAAGCUAAUGGCUAAUAAUGUUAUUCGCCAUUCGCCUAAUUAGUUUUCAUUUGUAAUUAGUAGGCGAAGCGACGAGCAUAGCGAGGAGUGAACGAAACGCAGUGCGAGAUAGACCCGAAGCCAGAGCGAGCUUACCUUGGCCAGGAUGAACCCGCCUUAAUCGGCGGGGGAGGUCCGAACUGGUGGGUUGUGCAAAACCCUCGGAUGAGCUGAGGUAAGAAGUGAAAAGCUAAUCGAGCCUGGUAAUAGCUGGUUCUCUCCGAAAUAGCUUUCGGGCUAGCGCUCGCUAAAAAUUUUCUAGGGGUAGAGCUACUGGUUGAGGUUGACAGGGCGAAAGCUCGCUUCCUCAGUCAAACUCCGAAUACUAGAAAAUACGGCGAGUAGUUAGACUGUGGGGGCUAAGCUCCAUGGUCGCGAGGGAAAAAGCCCAGAUCGUCGUCUAAGGUCCCUAAAUUUUUGCUAAGUGUAAAAGGCAGUCAUUAACCACAGACAGGCAGGAGGUUGGCUUAGAGGUAGCCAUCCUUUAAAGAGUGUGUAACAACUCACUGCUCGAAUCGUUCGCUCCUCACUGCGUUCGUCACUCACUUUACCAAUUACGAAUACUGACACGAAUUAAGCCAAUGGCUAAUAACGUUAUUCGCCAUUCGCCUAAUUAGUUUUCAUUUGUAAUUAGUAGGUGAAGAGACGAGCAUGGCGAGGAGCGAGCGAUGGUUAGUGGCGCCGAAAAUGUACCGGGGCUAAGCAAGAUACCGAAGACACGAAUCGUUCGCUCCUCACUGCGUUCGUCACUCACUUUACCAAUUACGAAUACUGACACGAAUUAAGCCAAUGGCUAAUAACGUUACUCGCCAUUCGCCUAAUUAGUUUUCAUUUGUAAUUAGUAGGUGAAGAGACGAGCAUGGCGAGGAGCGAGCGGUGGUAGGAGAGCAUCCCAAACUGCGUUGAAGGUUACGACGCGAGUCGGACUGGAGUGUUUGGGAGGGAGAAUGUUGGCAUGAGUAACCGCAAAUUUAGUGAGAAACUAGAUCCCCGAAAAUCCAAGGUUUCCGUGGCAAUGGCAAUCAACCACGGGUUAGGCGAUCCUAAGGCAAUGGCGAGAGCCGCAGCCGAUGGACAGCCGGUUAAUAUUCCGGCCCUUCUGAAACAUUCGAUGGGGUGACGGAGGAAAUAAGAUUGAGCGCCUUAGUGGUUUGGCGUCGUCGGUCAUCAGAAAUGAUGCUCAGGAAAAUCCGGGCGUCUGCUUUUAAUGGCAAAUUUCGCGGACCGCCGUAAGGUUAAGUUUUUACUUAACUAAUUCAAUCGAAGAGCCUUCCGAGAAAAACCUCUAAGGUUAGUGUUUUAGAAAUCGUACCGUAAACCGACACAGGUGGGUGAGGCGAGAAGCCUCAGGGGAACGAGUGAUUCUUCGUUAAGGAACUCGGCAAAAAAGCGGCCGUAAGUUCGCGAUAAGGCCUGCCCAACCAAUGCUUCGCAUUGGGAAUUCCAAAUUACAAAUCCCAAAUCACAAACAAAUUUGAAAUUCCAAUUUUCAAAUUCAAAACGUUUUGAAUUUAGAAUUUUGGUUAUUAGAUAUUGUUUGUAAUUUGGCGCUUGGGAUUUGGUGCUUCCACUGCGGAGCAGUGGUUUGGGCUGCAACAAAAGUAUCUCUGGCGACUGUUUACCAAAAACACAGCUCCCUGCUAACUCGCAAGAGGAUGUAUAGGGGGUGACGCCUGACCGAUGCGAGAAGGUUAACGGUGCCGGUACUCGAUAUUGUAAAAUGUUGAGCGCUGAGUGCCCGAAGCCCUCGUCAAUGUCGGCAGUAACUAUAACUGUCCAAAGGUAGAAAUAGCGCGCUGCCUUUGUAAAAUCUGACUGUAUCGGUGAACAUCCCGCUAUGGCGGGACAAUACCGAGGCAACCCCGACGGAAUGUUGGGGGAGUCCGUAGAGACUAUACGUCAGACCGUAGUACAUAAAGCCUGAUGUGCUCGGAAGAUAUAGUCCGACCUCCGUGGCAACACGGAGAGAUAGACAGAAAUGUUCUAUCCACGUAACAAAUUUCGCGAAGUCCGCAAAAGUCAGCGGAGUCCGCGUUUGUUACGAAGUAACAUAUUUGAGCGCAAUUCCUUUUCAGGUAAGAGAACUUGCCUGAAUUCGCCGUGAGGUGAAUUAAAAAGUCGGCUUAUAACGGUGAAGUCCAUUUUGUGAUAUAAUUUACCAAUGGAUAAUACCGUGGGAAGUUUCCGCCAGUUGGCGAAUAACCCCGUAACGACUGAGUCCCGCAAAGCGGGACGAAAUGGCCCUGAUUUAUCAGGCCAUUACACGCCGACCUCUUUAUUGAGGGAAACCAGAAACAUUCCAGAAUAUAUUACUGGGUAUGUUGAUGGUGAAGGAUGUUUUACGGUUACCUUUAAUCAAAAAUUAAAGGCAAAUUUAGGAUGGGAAAUGAAACCAAGUUUUUCGGUAAGCCAGAAUGAGGACAAGCGUCAAGUUCUGGAUAUUAUUAGAGAAUAUUUUGGUUGUGGAUAUAUCCGUCGUGACUAUGCAGAUAAAACAGUAAAGUUUGAAGUGCGAGAUCACAAUGAUCUUAUGACGAAAAUUAUUCCCCAUUUUGAAAAGUUUCCUUUGCUUUCUAAAAAGCAAAAAGAUUUUGAGCUAUUCAAAAAAAUCUGCAAAAUUGUAGAUCAAAAAAUUCAUCUUACCAAAGAAGGAUUUAUUGAAAUUCUUAAUCUUGCAUACUCAAUGAAUGGUUCAGGAAAGCGGAGGAGGGCAAAAGAAACAAUCAUAAAACUACUUCAAUAAAGAUGAAGAUAUAGUCUGAUACUUAUCGUAAGAUAAGCAAACAUUUAGAAGUUCUGAAGCGCACGAAUGGCGUAACGAUCGGAGAACUGUCUCAACGAAGAGCUCGGUGAAAAUGCGAUUCCCGUGAAGACGCGGGAUACCUGCAGCAAGACGAAAAGACCCCGGGAGCUUUACUGCAACUUGAUAUUGGCUUUAAAACUUGGAUGCGUAGCGUAGUGGGUAGGGGAUGAAGUUCCGCUUUUGGGCGGGAUGGACCCGACAAUGAAACACCCAUCUUCCGAGUUUUAAAAUCUAACCUAUCCGGCAAAAACGGAUCGGGACAGUGUCUGGCGGGCAGUUUAAAUGGGGCGUUUUCCUCCAAAAAAGUAACGGAGGAGUUUAUUAAGGUUGGCUUAGUCCCGAUGGAAACGGGACUGGACGCGUAAAGGCACAAGCCAGCUUAACUGCAAGACUGACAAGUCGCGCAGAUGCGAAAGCAGAACUUAGUGACCCGACCAUUCUUUAUAGAAAGGUGGGAGACAACGGCUAAAAGUUACCCCGGGGAUGGAUCCUGAAAAAAGGAUCAGUUGUCCCGUUCCGCAGUAAUGCGGAACAAGAUUACGGCUUAUAACGGUGAACCCAAAAUUGGUCUUUCCUCGUUUUGCGAGGUUCUCGAUUUUGGCAAUACCGUGGGAAGCGAG